GACGAACGCUGGCGGUGUGCUUAACACAUGCAAGUCGAGCGGUAAGGCCCUUUCGGGGGUACACGAGCGGCGAACGGGUGAGUAACACGUGGGUGACCUGCCCUCAGCUCUGGGAUAAGCCUGGGAAACCGGGUCUAAUACCGGAUAUGACUCCAUGACGCAUGUUGUGGGGUGGAAAGCCUUGUGCGGCUGAGGAUGGGCCCGCGGCCUAUCAGCUUGUUGGUGGGGNGAUGGCCUACCAAGGCGACGACGGGUAGCCGGCCUGAGAGGGCGACCGGCCACACUGGGGCUGAGACACGGCCCAGACUCCUACGGGAGGCAG
rnacentral:rRNA from 1 species